rnacentral:rRNA from 1 species
GCCCGCUCAAGAAACUACAAAGGAAGUUGACGGGGCCCGCACAAGGCGGAGGAGCAUGUGGUUAAUUCGAUGAUACGCGAGGAACCUUACCUGGGCUCGAACGUAAGAUGACUGUAGGUGAAAGCUUACAUCUCUUCGGAGCAUUUUACGAGGUGCUGCAUGGUUGUCGUCAGCUCGUGCCGUGAGGUGUCGGGUUAAGUCCCAUAACGAGCGCAACCCCUACCUUUAGUUGCCAUCAGGUUAAGCUGGGGACUCUAAAGGAACUGCCUACGCAAGUAGUGAGGAAGGCGGGGAUGACGUCAAAUCAGCACGGCCCUUACGUCCAGGGCUACACACGUGCUACAAUGGCCGAUACAGAGGGCAGCUACCUGGUGACAGGAUGCAAAUCUCCAAAGUCGGUCUCAGUUCGGAUCGGAGUCUGCAACCCGACUCCGUGAAGUUGGAUUCGCUAGUAAUCGCGCAUCAGCCAUGGCGCGGUGAAUACGUUCCCGGGCCUU